AUGUUCAAAAUCUUCGGUCUAAUGCUGCUGUUUGGCCUUGUCUUUAGUGGAAACAAAGAUAUACCAGUGACGGGAAAAACAGGAGGCAACGUCACCCUAGCGUGUGAAUUUAUUGCCAAUAGGAUUGUUCAAGUUGAGUUAUUCAGUGAGUCAAAAGACAUAGAUAUUUGUGAGACUGAAGAAUGUAGUGGACGAGUGUUUAAAAAAGCAGCCUGUGACGUGGUCAUCAAGAAUCUGAGCUUCAGUGACGCUGGGAAAUACACUUUGAGAGUCUUUUACAAUAAUGAUCAGUCAAACGUGGCACAGCAAAAGGACCGGAUAUACCAACUUCAUAUUCAUGACGAGAUUACUGUGAAAACAGGCAAGCCACUAAAAAUGCAUGUUCUGAUGUCCAUUGCUAAUAAAGUGGAGAAAAACUCCAGUGGAGAGUGGACGGAGGUGUGGAAGAGAGGUCAUGGGGUCUGGAGUGAUCGAAUGAAUGUCAGUGAUGAAAACCUGAUCAUUAAAGCUUUUACGGACAAUGAUGCAGGAACAUACAGAGUUCUGAACUCUGAAGGAGAAAUCCUGAUCACAGUGACUGUCACAGAAUCAGGUACACAAUCAUCGGGAAAACUGGACACAGAUAAAGACAAAACUGGUGACACUGGAGAACACAAUCACUGGAUUUUGCCAGUAGGAGUGUGUUCUGGAAUUCUGGUGGUUCUGGCUGUGAUUGCUGUCAUCAUGUGGCGAUGUUGGCCCAGAAGUUACAGGCCGGCUCCAGUACAGGAGAAUCCAGAAUCCAGAGCAACCAGAGGAGUUGGGGAACCUCUAAUGAUCUUACCUGAAUGUGAUGAAACUGCACAGGAGCACUGGACACGUGGUGACACCACAGUUAUUAGAAAUUGCCUUCAACACUAACAAGAUUUUGUCAUCCUAUACUGGCAGCUAGAGGUGUGCCAUAAUAUCACUGUAUGAUAAUAUAGUAAUUGUUGCUUAAUUGAUGAGCAAACUGAUUAUGUCACUUCACAAUAGCAAAAACAAUCAUUUUAAAAUCAAAUUAAUAAUUUAAAAAAAAGUAAAAGUAAAAAGUUUUUUAAGUUAUUCUCAGUCAAGAUACUUUGUUUAGCCAACAUAAAUGUACAAUUUUACAAUGAAUGACAAACAUGGACUUAUUCCUCUAUCAGUUUAUUUCAGCAUUAAGGACAUAUGGAAAUUAUAAUGACUGUAUUGAGAACAGUGAAAAGUUAGAGAAACCUUAACAGACAACUCAGUCUUAUUUGUAGACAACAUUAUCUUUGUAAAGCAUCCAACAAAACUAAGAUAUCCAGGAAAUAGAUAUAAGUAGGUGAACAUACUCUAAGCCUUCAUACUUGACACAAAAAACCUUGAGACCCAGAGAUCAGAAUCAGAAGAAUCAGAAUCAGAAUGAGCUUUAUUGCCAGGUAUGUUUACACAUACGAGGAAUUUGUUUUUGUGACAGAAGCUCCGCAGUACAACAGAAUGACAGCGACAGAACAUAAAACACAUAAUAAAAGAAUAAAAAAUACAAAUAAGUAGAUAGUGAAUGACAAUAUACAAAUGACAAUUGUAGGCAGGUACAUUACAAAAUGAAGUUAUGUGUGUACAUAUAUAUUGUGUGCAAAAUUUAAGUGUAUACUAAGUAUGUGUGUUAGAUAAAUAAAGUGUGUGUGUAUAUAAAUAUAAAGUGUAGUGUGUUCGCCGUUAUUAUCAGCAAGAUGAGCUUUUUACAUCACACAACACAACAAAUAACAAACAGUAAAGACAAUACAAAAAUGAAAACAAUUAAAAAGUCAGCAAACAACAAACCAAUAAUCCUAUAACAGUAACUGCAUAUUUUAUUCAUGCCACAAUGCAUGCUGGGAACUCACAAAGUCCUAACAUUUCAGCAAAAUGAAACUGGCUUUUGAGUUGAGACAACAUUUGUGUUAAUUCUGACAAAGGUUUCAUGUAGUUUCAAGAAAACUGUGUUUCUUCGUAUUGAAGACUCAAAUGGUAAGGUUUCGUAAACUGGAUCCUAUGCAGUUGCCUUUUUUACAGAAUCUAUAAACUCAUUGCAUGAUUACAGUAAGUUUAUUAGAAUAGGAUAAAGAUGACCAAUUUAAUGUUGAUUUGCACUGACUGUUCCCUCUAAUCAUAUGAUAAUAUGAUUUUAAUGUAAUGGGCUAGUUGCAUAUCUCCGCCAUCUUGGAUUUCCGGUCUUGCGAGUGUGUGCCUUGAUAUUUCUGGUUGUGCUAAAUGUCAGUGCAGAGAACCGGAGAAGUCCAAAUAUUACCUUCUAUAUGUUUACAGGAUUUAUAGUAUCACUUCAUAUGCAAAUAAGAUCUACACUGCUAUUAUUACUAUACUAUAAAUAUUAACUGAGCCAGUGGAUUUGAAACUUGUGUAUGUUUGGGUCUGGUGAAUGAAUUAAAUACACUAAUGUCCAUGAGAUGAAAGUGGAACUCAUGGUGUGUAUACACAGCUACAUAAUGUAUUUUUAUCUUACCAAAUAUGUACAUGUAUUAUUAUUGCAUUAUUAUU
ensembl:lncRNA